CUUCUCCUCUCCGUCCUCUCUUUUCUCUGGCUCGGUUUGCCGGUGUCCCUGUUCGCUGGGUCUCCUCCUCCGACUGCGCUCCGUUCUCUACCUCGUCAGAUCUAUCACCUCUGACAUCAUUCUGGUUAAAGGUCUAAAGCUCGACGGCAUCUAAGUUGGAAUAUAUUCUCUCCAUUGCUUACCCUUGAAGCUGCUUGGUUUAGAGGGAUCGCCAACAAGUUGCAUUCUCAUCAGAUGAAGUCAUUUUUUUCCCUUUUGUGUGUAAAGUCAAAACAUUACAAUUAGUCUUUCCCCACUCUCUUAAAUUUCAAAAUGUCAUUUGGAAUUGUCCUUGCCAUGUGCCAUAAGUGGGGUUUUUUCUAACGUUGUAGUUUUUUUUUUUUA